UACGGAGGAUGCAAGCGUUAUCCGGAAUGAUUGGGCGUAAAGCGUCCGCAGGUGGCAAUGUAAGUCUGCUGUCAAAGCGUCUGGCUCAACCAGAUAAAGGCAGUGGAAACUACAUAGCUAGAGUAAGGUAGGGGUAGAGGGAAUUCCUGGUGUAGCAGUGAAAUGCGUAGAUAUCAGGAGGAAUACCGAUGGCGAAGGCAGGUCUCUGGGCUGACACUGACGCUCAUGCACGAAAGCGUGGGGAGCAAACAGG
rnacentral:rRNA from 1 species